rnacentral:rRNA from 1 species
GAUGAACGCUAGCGGGAGGCCUAACACAUGCAAGCCGAGCGGUAGAGUCUCUUCGGAGACUUGAGAGCGGCGCACGGGUGCGGAACACGUGUGCAACCUGCCUUUAUCUGGGGGAUAGCCUUUCGAAAGGAAGAUUAAUACCCCAUAAUAUACUGGAUGGCAUCAUUCGGUAUUGAAAACUCCGGUGGAUAGAGAUGGGCACGCGCAAGAUUAGAUAGUUGGUGAGGUAACGGCUCACCAAGUCAGCGAUCUUUAGGGGGCCUGAGAGGGUGAUCCCCCACACUGGUACUGAGACACGGACCAGACUCCUACGGGAGGCAGCAGUGAGGAAUAUUGGACAAUGGGUGAGAGCCUGAUCCAGCCAUCCCGCGUGAAGGACGACGGCCCUAUGGGUUGUAAACUUCUUUUGUACAGGGAUAAACCUAUUUACGUGUAAAUAGCUGAAGGUACUGUACGAAUAAGCACCGGCUAACUCCGUGCCAGCAGCCGCGGUAAUACGGAGGGUGCAAGCGUUAUCCGGAUUUAUUGGGUUUAAAGGGUCCGUAGGCUGAUUUGUAAGUCAGUGGUGAAAUCUCACAGCUUAACUGUGAAACUGCCAUUGAUACUGCAAGUCUUGAGUGUUGUUGAAGUAGCUGGAAUAAGUAGUGUAGCGGUGAAAUGCAUAGAUAUUACUUAGAACACCAAUUGCGAAGGCAGGUUACUAAGCAACAACUGACGCUGAUGGACGAAAGCGUGGGGAGCGAACAGGAUUAGAUACCCUGGUAGUCCACGCCGUAAACGAUGCUAACUCGUUUUUGGGUUUUCGGAUUCAGAGACUAAGCGAAAGUGAUAAGUUAGCCACCUGGGGAGUACGAACGCAAGUUUGAAACUCAAAGGAAUUGACGGGGGCCCGCACAAGCGGUGGAUUAUGUGGUUUAAUUCGAUGAUACGCGAGGAACCUUACCAAGGCUUAAAUGGGAAAUGACAGGUUUAGAAAUAGACUUUUCUUCGGACAUUUUUCAAGGUGCUGCAUGGUUGUCGUCAGCUCGUGCCGUGAGGUGUUAGGUUAAGUCCUGCAACGAGCGCAACCCCUGUCACUAGUUGCCAUCAUUAAGUUGGGGACUCUAGUGAGACUGCCUACGCAAGUAGAGAGGAAGGUGGGGAUGACGUCAAAUCAUCACGGCCCUUACGCCUUGGGCCACACACGUAAUACAAUGGCCGGUACAGAGGGCAGCUACACAGUGAUGUGAUGCAAAUCUCGAAAGCCGGUCUCAGUUCGGAUUGGAGUCUGCAACUCGACUCUAUGAAGCUGGAAUCGCUAGUAAUCGCGCAUCAGCCAUGGCGCGGUGAAUACGUUCCCGGGCCU